GGCUGGGUCUGAAGGUAGUUAUCUCAGUUGAUUGUUCACAGUCAGUUACAGGUUGAAUUCCUUGUUCCGCUCUUACCCCGUUCUCACUACUCGACUAGCCUAAA
ensembl:misc_RNA Y_RNA Y RNA